rnacentral:rRNA from 1 species
UGUGGCCUACGGGGGGCAGCAGUAGGGAAUCUUCCACAAUGGACGAAAGUCUGAUGGAGCAACGCCGCGUGAGUGAAGAAGGGUUUCGGCUCGUAAAGCUCUGUUGGUAGUGAAGAAAGAUAGAGGUAGUAACUGGUCUUUUUUUGACGGUAAUUACUUAGAAAGUCACGGCUAACUACGUGCCAGCAGCCGCGGUAAUACGGAGGUUGCGAGCGUUAUCCGGAUUUAUUGGGCUUAAAGGGUGCGCAGGCGGAUUUUUAAGUCAGCGGUCAAAUCGUUGGGCUCAACCCCAUCCAUGCAUUGAA